GUUACCAAAACCAGAUGAAGAUACUUGGAGAAAUAUUGCAGAAGGCUUUAGCGAAAAAUGGCAAUUACCACAUUGUGUGGGCGCCAUAGACGGGAAACAUGUUAUAAUUCAAGCACCUCCAAAAUCAGGCUCAACAUACUACAAUUAUAAAGGUUCACACAGUAUUGUACUAAUGGCUUUGUGUGAUGCCAAUUAUAAAUUUAUAAUGGUUGACAUAGGAGCAGAGGGUCGCCAUAGUGAUGGAGGAAUAUUCAAAAAUAGUAAUAUGGGCAGAUUAAUUGCAACAAACAAUCUAAAUUUUCCUCCACCAUGUGCAUUAAUUGACAAUGGUGAUGAAGUUAAUUUUUACAUUUGUGGGGAUGAAGCUUUUCCUUUAUCCACAUGUCUAAUGCGUCCAUAUCCAGGCCGAUUUUUACCUCAGAUUAAAAGGAUUUUUAAUUAUAGGUUGUCUAGAGGAAGAAGGGUUGUAGAAAAUGCUUUCGGUAUAUUGUCAGCAAAAUGGAGAGUUUAUCGAAAACCAAUCAUUGCACAAGAAGAAACUGUUCGUAGCAUUGUUAAGGCCACUGUUUGUCUUCAUAACUUUUUAAUUGGUGCAGAGAAAAAAUAUGUGUCUCCGACUUUUGUGGAUAGAGAAGAUAUUGAAGGGCAACAAAUUGACGGGGAAUGGCGUAACUAUGCUACCUCCAAUCUUCCCAAUAUCAGAAGAACUAGUACUAAUAUGUAUGGACGGACAGCAGAUAUAAUGAGGAAUAAAUUAGCUACAUUCUUCUGCAAUGAAGGAGCUGUACCAUUUCAAUGGGCAAAAUAAUAAUAAUCUAAUAUAAAAUUCUUUAUCUUUAUUAAACAGCACUUUAUA